rnacentral:rRNA from 1 species
AGAGUUUGAUCCUGGCUCAGGACGAACGCUGGCGGCGUGCUUAACACAUGCAAGUCGAACGGUAAGGCCCUUCGGGGUACACGAGUGGCGAACGGGUGAGUAACACGUGGGUAAUCUGCCCUGCACAUCGGGAUAAGCCUGGGAAACUGGGUCUAAUACCGAAUAGGACCACAGGACACAUGUCCUGUGGUGGAAAGCUUUUGCGGUGUGGGAUGGGCCCGCGGCCUAUCAGCUUGUUGGUGGGGUGAUGGCCUACCAAGGCGACGACGGGUAGCCGGCCUGAGAGGGUGUCCGGCCACACUGGGACUGAGAUACGGCCCAGACUCCUACGGGAGGCAGCAGUGGGGAAUAUUGCACAAUGGGCGAAGGCCUGAUGCAGCGACGCCGCGUGGGGGAUGACGGCCUUCGGGUUGUAAACCUCUUUCACCAUCGACGAAGGUCCGGGUUUUCUCGGGCUGAGGGUAGGUGGAGAAGAAGCACCGGCCAACUACGUGCCAGCAGCCGCGGUAAUACGUAGGGUGCGAGCGUUGUCCGGAAUUACUGGGCGUAAAGAGCUCGUAGGUGGUUUGUCGCGUUGUUCGUGAAAUCUCACGGCUUAACUGUGAGCGUGCGGGCGAUACGGGCAGACUUGAGUACUGCAGGGGAGACUGGAAUUCCUGGUGUAGCGGUGGAAUGCGCAGAUAUCAGGAGGAACACCGGUGGCGAAGGCGGGUCUCUGGGCAGUAACUGACGCUGAGGAGCGAAAGCGUGGGGAGCGAACAGGAUUAGAUACCCUGGUAGUCC